GCAAAGUAUUACAUUGUAGGUUAUUUUGGAUAGUAUUAGGUUCUUGCUUCUAAUCAGGCUCCAGAGGCUGAGAAAGAGAGGGCAAGGAAGGCCAAAGAGAAAAGGGAUGUAAAUCUAAGAGGAAAGAGGGAGGCAUCUGGGGAGGUAAGGAGAAAAGCAGUGGGGCUCUUUAUGUAAGACAUUCAUGCACCGACUCACCAGUUAGUUGACAAAUACUACACCUCCAUAAAAAGGGGGUUUUGGCGGGUCAAAUUAUGGAUUUCUAAUAUGCUUAUAUGCACACUCUGAACUUCUCUUCACCUGACACAAAAGCAGAUGCUUAUAAAUUAUCCAAAGAGGUGAGAAGUGCUUUUAAUUAAGAGUUAAGUAAGAAAAGGCCACGUAGGAGAGUAUUAUUAUGCAAAUAUCCACAGUAAACACCUUUGGUGUGACCUCGCAGGAGGCAAAAUCACACAAGUAUACAAGCUCUCCUACGCUAAAAUUUUCAACCUGACUUGGGGCACAUUUUUCUUUUUCCUUGCUUUCCCGUUUCCAAACUCAUUAUACCCUGUUGUAUGUCUUGUUUUUUUGUUUUGUUUUGUUUUGUUUUUAAAUUCUAGGUCAGGUUCAGUUGUAAGACCAUACAAGGAAGAGAUCUCAAAAACUAAUAUUUUGGUAGGAGUCUCGAGAACUUAGUAGAGAAAAUGUAAGGCAAGUUUUCCCCUUUCCUUCUUUUCUCCCUUCACCCCCCCAAGCCCUCUAAAUGGCAAAGUAACACUACCAAGAGGGGCUUUCAGUUCUUCUAACAGGGACAAAGGACCCUGGUUGAAUAUCCCCCUUCUGCAGUGACUCCCCAGUUGGUGUGGUAUUCUUCCACAGAGGCCCUGCUGAGCUGUUAGGAAGUAAGAGGCAUUCGCACACGACUCACUAUCUUUCAGGGGCCAAUUAGCCAGUUUGGAAUAUCCAGACCCUGGGUUUCUUUCAUUUCUCUUUCAGCAGCUUGCCUUUUGGUCAUUUGCCAUGCUUCAUUAAAAGGGGCAAAGCUCAGAUCUGUCCAUUUGGCUCACCCUUAGGAGCUCUGAAGGGAGCCUUCUUGGGGAAGGCAAUUGAAGCCAUUGAAGUGAAGAUGUGGGGAUUAUCCAUGGAUUAGGAUUAUCUAAACCAGUGGUUUCCAACCCUUUUAACUAGGAAAAGCCCUUUUACAGGUAAAAAACAAAACAAAACAAAACAAAACCCAAACCAAACAAAACAACAAACCUUGUGCAUACUUACAGGACAGUAAUUAUACUAUCUACUGAGUAAGGCAAGCAUUUGCUCAUAGGAAGGAAAGGCUUGUUCAUCUUGUCUUCUCGGUCUUCAAACACAUUCUGUACCCCUUCCAACCCCUCUUGGAAAAACAUCUUUCCUAGGGCAUCAAUACUCUGAAUUCUUUGUGAUUCAGACUCAAGUAAAGUAAGGAAGGUUUACAGAGGAAGCCUGGUACCUAUCAUCUGCUGGAAACUAACACACAAAUAGAUUGUUGAGAUGUUUCGGAAUAAUGACCAGUAAACACCAAGGGAAAAGAAAAAAAAAAAACCUUCUUUCCAUUUCAUUAUAGAAGUUUUUUGUGAAGACUUAAAUUUGAAGAUGGUUAAUGAUUUUCUUGUUUGGUGAUUAUUCAAGAUGUAUGUGAAUCAGAAGGAAUUGAAAUCAAUUCCUUCAGGGGUGCUGAAGAUUAUAGACAAUAUAACCCUAACACCUUUUUAGCAAUGUUUUUGCCUAUUUAGUGAAUGGGACUUGGUGUCAGAAUUUCUGAGGACAAGUAGAGGGCAUGCUGACAUCAGGAACAAUUACAAAAACUUGUACAGCACCAACAGAGCAAACUUUUCUCCUGUGUUAUGAUAUAUAUUUGCCGUAUGUCUUUGUUUUAAAAAUUGUUCUCAGUAUUCCAGCUCCACCUUCUCUCAACGGAUACUCUGUCUUCAUCAUCAAGGAGAUGGAGGUAACCAGGUAUGAACCACUCCAAAUUAUUAGCAACAUCCACCUUCUUGGAGCCAAAAAUGCUGCUCUUGUAUUCUUCUUAGACUUCCUCAUUCUUCUCGUAUUUGCUGAUGACUCCCAAAUUGGUAUCUCCUGCCCUGCCUUCUCUCCCCAGUUUAGACUGGGACAUACACCUGGUGACCACUGGCCAUGAGCACCUGGAUAGCCACAGGGACCUGGUCCUCACCAUUUCCUCCCUAACUUAUUUAUCCUGUUCAAUUCCUCAUCUCAGUGGAACCAGCCUGCCUCCAAGCAUCCAGGGUAAAAAUCUGGUGGUAAACCGAGGCUUCUCUCUUUCCUACACUCCCACACCCAAUUAACCCCCCAGUAUUCAUUAUUUUACUUUCUAAAUACUUCUGAAAUCCAUCGCCUACUAUUUAGCUCGGCUAUACCUCAUUCAGGCUUUCAUAAUCUUUACUCUAGAGGUUUACACUGACUCUUAAUGACUCUUCAUUGCCUGAAAAUAAGGACCCUGCCUGUGAGUGUGGCAUUCAAGACUUCUCAUGACCUUCCACUUCCGCUUUCACCCGCCCUCUCCACAUUCCACUUUACCAAACUGUACACACCAAGAGGCUGCUUUUAUUCCUUCUCCUUGAAAUCUCCUCCCUGCCUCCAUCUGAUUGACACUAAUCCAUCUUGCCUGAACCCAUGACCAAGCUAAGUGCCACUCCUCUGUGAUCCUAUUAUACCUUGUACGUACCUAUUCUUUUCAUCACCUACGCGUUAUAUUAUAUUGUAAUUACCUGUUAAUUCAUAUUUUGCCCUCUCCUUGACCUCCAGUCAAGAAGGAAGAUGGUUGCCCAUACUGUGUCAAAAAUUUUUAUUUAUUUAUUUAUUUAUU